rnacentral:rRNA from 1 species
UGGCGGCGUGCCUAAUACAUGCAAGUCGAGCGAGCGGAACUAACAGAUUUACUUCGGUAAUGACGUUAGGAAAGCGAGCGGCGGAUGGGUGAGUAACACGUGGGGAACCUGCCCCAUAGUCUGGGAUACCACUUGGAAACAGGUGCUAAUACCGGAUAAGAAAGCAGAUCGCAUGAUCAGCUUUUAAAAGGCGGCGUAAGCUGUCGCUAUGGGAUGGCCCCGCGGUGCAUUAGCUAGUUGGUAAGGUAAAGGCUUACCAAGGCGAUGAUGCAUAGCCGAGUUGAGAGACUGAUCGGCCACAUUGGGACUGAGACACGGCCCAAACUCCUACGGGAGGCAGCAGUAGGGAAUCUUCCACAAUGGACGCAAGUCUGAUGGAGCAACGCCGCGUGAGUGAAGAAGGUUUUCGGAUCGUAAAGCUCUGUUGUUGGUGAAGAAGGAUAGAGGUAGUAACUGGCCUUUAUUUGACGGUAAUCAACCAGAAAGUCACGGCUAACUACGUGCCAGCAGCCGCGGUAAUACGUAGGUGGCAAGCGUUGUCCGGAUUUAUUGGGCGUAAAGCGAGCGCAGGCGGAAGAAUAAGUCUGAUGUGAAAGCCCUCGGCUUAACCGAGGAACUGCAUCGGAAACUGUUUUUCUUGAGUGCAGAAGAGGAGAGUGGAACUCCAUGUGUAGCGGUGGAAUGCGUAGAUAUAUGGAAGAACACCAGUGGCGAAGGCGGCUCUCUGGUCUGCAACUGACGCUGAGGCUCGAAAGCAUGGGUAGCGAACAGGAUUAGAUACCCUGGUAGUCCAUGCCGUAAACGAUGAGUGCUAAGUGUUGGGAGGUUUCCGCCUCUCAGUGCUGCAGCUAACGCAUUAAGCACUCCGCCUGGGGAGUACGACCGCAAGGUUGAAACUCAAAGGAAUUGACGGGGGCCCGCACAAGCGGUGGAGCAUGNGGUUUAAUUCGAAGCAACGCGAAGAACCUUACCAGGUCUUGACAUCUAGUGCCAUUUGUAGAGAUACAAAGUUCCCUUCGGGG